rnacentral:rRNA from 1 species
GACGAACGCUGGCGGCGUGCUUAACACAUGCAAGUCGAACGGAAAGGCCCUGCUUUUGUGGGGUGCUCGAGUGGCGAACGGGUGAGUAACACGUGAGUAACCUGCCCUUGACUUUGGGAUAACUUCAGGAAACUGGGGCUAAUACCGGAUAGGAGCUCCUGCUGCGUGGUGGGGGUUGGAAAGUUUCGGCGGUUGGGGAUGGACUCGCGGCUUAUCAGCCUGUUGGUGGGGUAGUGGCUUACCAAGGCUUUGACGGGUAGCCGGCCUGAGAGGGUGACCGGCCACAUUGGGAAUGAGAUACGGCCCAGACUCCUACGGGAGGCAGCAGUGGGGAAUAUUGCACAAUGGGCGGAAGCCUGAUGCAGCAACGCCGCGUGCGGGAUGACGGCCUUCGGGUUGUAAACCGCUUUCGCCUGUGAUGAAGCGUGAGUGACGGUAAUGGGUAAAGAAGCACCGGCUAACUACGUG